UACGAAGGGGGCUAGCGUUGCUCGGAAUGACUGGGCGUAAAGGGCGCGUAGGCGGCUUGACACCGUCAGAUGUGAAAUUCCUGGGCUUAACCUGGGGGCUGACAUUUUGAUACGUGUGGGCUUGAGUGCGGAAGAGGGUCGUGGAAUUCCCAGUGUAGAGGUGAAAUUCGUAGAUAUUGGGAAGAACACCGGUGGCGAAGGCGGCGACCUGGUCCGUGACUGACGCUGAGGCGCGAAAGCGUGGGGAGCAAACAGG
rnacentral:rRNA from 1 species